rnacentral:lncRNA from 1 species
UGAUUUGAACCGAAGACCUCAUGGUUCUCAACCCAAUUCAUUGACAAAGAAAUCACACCCUUGGGUGAAACUGUGUUGAAACUUAAUUAGGAUCCAUCCUUGAAGAUUCAACCUUGCUCGUAUCCCUUUGAAAGGGUGGGGUUUAAUGAAAAAAGUACAAAUAUAUAUGUUUAGUCCAAGAUAAAUAAUUAUAAGCAUGCCUGAUGAAUAUAUGAAAUGGAAAAAAAAAUUACAAUGAAGCAGUUAUAGCUUAGCUUACUGAGGACAUGACCCUAGAUAGGAAGGUUUGGAGGAUGCGGAUUAGGGUAGAAGGUUAGGGCCUGUGGGUGGGUGGGUCACAGUCAGUAGCUAGGAGAGCUUCGGGUAGGGGGGAAGUGGGUGGGGGUGCCUUUGGUUUGUUAGUGUAGGGUAUUACUGUGUGGGUGUCUCAUCUCUAUUGUGUCAUCUUGUUUCAAGCUUUAUUAUGAAUUUGCUUAUUAUUCUUUGUUUUGAGCCGGAGGUCUAUCGGAAACAGCCUUGCUACCUCUCCGGAGGUAGUGGUAUGGACUGCGUACAUUUUACUCUCCCCAGACCCCACUGUGUGGGAAAACACUGGGUUUGUUGUUGUUGUUGUUGUUGUUGAAGUGAAAUAUCAAUUGUUUAGUGUCACCUCUUCAGAGAGGCUCAUUGGCAACUGGCAAGGAAAAGUAUGCCUUCGAAAAUUGAUGACGACAUUGAAGCACACAUUAAGCUAGGCGAAGCACUCAACAUGUUUUGAGCCUCGCUUUAAGACUUAGAGCGCGCUUUAAGCACAUCUUUGGUAACCCUGUUUGAGUCAGUACAUGAUGAUGUGUUAUUACUUCGAUUUCCUAUAUCCCCUCUAGUUUAAGUUUCAUGUAUUCUUGAUGCUGAGAAAUACUGUUUUCUCCGCUUUGCAUUGGACAAGAGUCAUAAGGGGUUCCUACUUUGAACUGCUAGUAGCACAGGUAGAAGGGGUACAUAUUAGAAGACUUCAAUUACUGAAUACAUAGAACUUCCAGGGACUUAACAAUUAGAGAUAACGUCCCACAAAAGAAGAGUUGGCAGAAACGACACUUAAAAUAUAAAUGAAACUUUGCUACAGAGAGGACCUGUAGUUCAUCAUACACUAGAAAGAAACAUUUUUUAAGACUACUUCCAUCCCCUCUCAGAAUCCUACAUCACCUGGUGAAACCAACAAAAAAACAUGCAUUAGUCGAUACACUCAGUUAGAAUAUUUCCAAAAUGAUGAUAGAAUUGACGCAUAGAAAAAAGAAUUAAGUAGAAAAAGAAUGGUGACAUCACAAUAACUAUCAAUUGUGAUGAGAACUUGAUUGUCUAUAUUCUUGGCAUAAGUAUAGCAGCCGCUGUUACGUCCAUAAUAUUGAAUGUUGGUCAAUGGAGGCUGUGUUUAACAUGCAACUCUUUGUUUUUUCUUUAUCCUUUGCACAUCAUAUAGCCACCUCUUGCAGUUGCUGCUUGUUACUAUUGUUGUUUAUGGCCUCGCUAGUUUCAGCCACCUCUUGCAUCUGCUUGAUUUUCACAUUACAUGGGUAAAACUAAUUUAUACAGUACAUCGUACUUAACUACAAGUAUAUAGAAGUCAUUUAUUUUUCACUGAUCCUGUAAUUUUAGUAAGAUACUUUCUAUUAGGAUAUAUUCUAGAAAGAAAUCCAAUGAGCUGCAAAUUUCCUGAAGGUUUUGAAUUGAAAUGCUUAACCAAAUCACUCCGUCCAAAUUCCGAUCAAGCCCAAGAAUCUCAAUAUUUCUUUAGCUAUUGACAGUUGUCAUGGGGUUGAGCAAAACUGAAGUGAACUUGAAGAGGUUACUUGUAACUGCACCACAACAGCAAAAUCAAGCAAAGCUUAUACAUUAUGUUGCCACUUUGCGGGAACUACUGGAGCAGUUGGCUGAAGAGAGGAAUCCUGAUGGAUUACCAAGGGUUUCAAAAGCCAAGGUGAAUGAAUAUGCUGAGAAUAUUGAAGCCGUUGCUUCCAAGUUAGCUGUGUCCAUGCCUGAUGUGCACACGCCUGAGGAACCUGUGGCUGAGACUUCCAGCAGUGGAACUCCUAAAGCAGAAGAAAGUGUGAAUUCUGCUUCUGAAGGAUUGAGGAGAAGAUUCGGGGUUCAUUCACACAAUGAUGAGAGAUCUCGGGAUGCCAUUGAUUCUGAUCAAUCAUCAGCUGCAGUCAAACUGGAUGACGCUGGACGGACACAUAUUGACAAGCACAGGAAGCUUCAGGAGGAUUUGACUGAUGAAAUGGUUGUUUUGGCACGGCAGCUAAAAGAGAGCAGUCUCAUGAUGAAUCAAUCCAUCAAAAAUACCGAGAAAAUACUUGAUUCAACUGAGAAAGCAGUUGAGCAUAGCCUGGCAAGUACAGGACAUGCAACUUCAAGAGCUAUGGACAUUUAUUCGCGGAGUUUCAAGACUACAUGCUUCCAGUGGCUUUUGAUCUUUGUCAUGACAUUAGUCUUUGUCAUGGUUGUUUUACUUAUUCGAGUGACUUAGUAACCAACCCGUUGUUAGUGGAGAUACAACAGAACUCUUGCUUUUCUUUCUAUCUUUGUCUAGUACCAGAAGAUACCUCAUUAGUAGGGACAUGUUGAGGGGAUAGACGACCCUUUAGAUGCUGAAGUAUAAAUUCAAAACACCUGUAUUACUCUCCUUUAGAAAAAAACAUUCUAGAUGGAACAUGUGGGGUGAAUUACGAGUUUGUUUUUUGGAUUUUAGAAAAAGAAUGUACUCCUUAAAGAGAAGAUUUUCCAAGCGCUCUUCUAGUGUGUGUUAUAUUCUACAUUACAGUGUAGUUUAACCUAUGAUAGUAGUAGGAUAGCUACCAUUUUUGUUAUGUUACCAGGUAAUUCUUAUCAUGAAGACGUACAAGUAUCUAGUUACAUUGCAAGUGAUCUAAUUUUGUAAAUACGUUUUACGCUAAGGGAGACAGCAAACCUGCAAAUGUGGACAAAGUAUAGGCUGCUUGAAGCCACAAUAGUUUCUCUGUUAGCUUGGUGGGCAGUAUGCCAGCAGUUGCAAUUUUGUAAAGGGAUAACCCAGAAGUUGAAUGAGUCGCAGCACUCGGUUAAUGCAGCUGCUACUUGUCAACAAGCCGGUUUACCCAGUAACCAAGUUCAUGAGUUAGUACAGCGUCCAGACUUGGGUUCUUCAAGCAAGAGAAGAACUUCCUGCAACCAGCAUCCCAUGGCUUAUACUCCACUUGCUGCUUAACAUGUCCAUAGAAACUUUUUAGUGUGAGCCAAAAACCUAUCAGAUAUGUAUGUGAUGUAUAUUGUAAGUUGAUAAAUGUGUGAUACAUGUUUGUCUAUUGUAUAUAGCCUCAACCUCUCACUAACCAUAGUAAUAGGUGCUCUCUAGGUGUAUUGGUUUAAUAUAAUAUGUACAUUUAUUACCAAAAAAACAUGGG